rnacentral:rRNA from 1 species
GAUGAACGCUGGCGGCGUGCUUAACACAUGCAAGUCGAACGGAAAGGCUCCUGCUUGCAGGGGUACUCGAGUGGCGAACGGGUGAGUAACACGUGGGUGAUCUGCCCUGCACUUCGGGAUAAGCCUGGGAAACUGGGUCUAAUACCGGAUAGGACGAUGGUUUGGAUGCCAUUGUGGAAAGUUUUUCGGUGUGGGAUGAGCUCGCGGCCUAUCAGCUUGUUGGUGGGGUAAUGGCCUACCAAGGCGUCGACGGGUGGCCGGCCUGAGAGGGUGUACGGCCACAUUGGGACUGAGAUACGGCCCAGACUCCUACGGGAGGCAGCAGUGGGGAAUAUUGCACAAUGGGCGCAAGCCUGAUGCAGCGACGCCGCGUGGGGGAUGACGGCCUUCGGGUUGUAAACUCCUUUCGCUAGGGACGAAGCGCAAGUGACGGUACCUGGAGAAGAAGCACCGGCUAACUACGU